UUCCUAUCGGUCGACGGGCUGUGGGUGUAUUGCUCAGUGACGGCUUCGUUUAGUUUCUCCCAGCACCCAUAAUUCAAAGCAAGAACAACGACAUUAUGGGGAGAAAACGUCCUUUUGUGAAACAGAAGGCAAUCCACACCAUUAGUAAACCCCAUCAAUUUUGCCUUCAGAAUAUAUCCAGAUUCUUCCCAAUUCUACCGCCACCAUUCUGGUUCAAGCUACCUGGUGAAGGGGAAGUGCAAUAGGAUCAGAAAGAAUGUUUGAAGAAAUAAUGGUUGAAAAACUCCCAAAUUUGAUGAAAGAGGUGAAUCUACAUAUCCAAGAAGCUCAAUGAACUCUAAAGAGACCCACACUGAGACGUGUUAUAGUCAAACUGUCAAAAGCCAAAGACAAUGAAAACAACAAGAGAGAAACAACUCAUCACAUACAAGAGAGCCUUAAUAAAAUUACUAGCUGAUUUCUUAUAAAAAACCAUGGAGACCAGAAAAUAAGAAUGUCGAUCAAGAAUUCUAUAUCUGACAAAACUAUUCCUAAAGAAAUUCUCAGAUAAACAAAAGCUACAGAAUUUACUAGUAGACCUGCCCUACAAGAAAUGCUAAAGAGAAUCUCUCAGAUUGAAAUUAAAGGACAUCAGACAGUAACUUGAAGCCAUAUGAAAAAAUAAAGAGCAAUUG
rnacentral:lncRNA from 1 species